AGCGAACGCUGGCGGCAGGCCUAACACAUGCAAGUCGAACGAAGUCUUCGGACUUAGUGGCGGACGGGUGAGGAACACGUGGGAACGUGCCUUUAGGUUCGGAAUAACUCAGGGAAACUUGUGCUAAUACCGAAUGUGCCCUUCGGGGGAAAGAUUUAUCGCCUUUAGAGCGGCCCGCGUCUGAUUAGCUAGUUGGUGAGGUAAAGGCUCACCAAGGCGACGAUCAGUAGCUGGUCUGAGAGGAUGAUCAGCCACAUUGGGACUGAGACACGGCCCAAACUCCUACGGGAGGCAGCAGUGGGGAAUCUUGCGCAAUGGGCGAAAGCCUGACGCAGCCAUGCCGGGUGAAUGAUGGAGGUCUUAGGAUUGUAAAAUUCUUUCACCGGGGACGAUAAUGACGGUACCCGGAGAAGGAGCCCCGGCUAACUUCGUGCCAGCCGCCGCGGUAACAC
rnacentral:rRNA from 1 species